CCGGCCGUUCUCGUCCGAUCACCGAAGUUAAGCAGCUUCGAGCGCGGUCGGUACUCGGAUGGGUAACCGCCUGGUGGCUCCACGUGAUG